rnacentral:rRNA from 1 species
AUUGAACGCUGGCGGCAGGCUUAACACAUGCAAGUCGAACGAUGAUUCUCUAGCUUGCUAGAGAAGAUUAGUGGCGGACGGGUGAGUAACAUUUAGGAAUCUGCCUAGUAGUGGGGGAUAGCUCGGGGAAACUCGAAUUAAUACCGCAUACGACCUACGGGUGAAAGGGGGCGCAAGCUCUUGCUAUUAGAUGAGCCUAAAUCAGAUUAGCUAGUUGGUGGGGUAAAGGCCCACCAAGGCGACGAUCUGUAACUGGUCUGAGAGGAUGAUCAGUCACACCGGAACUGAGACACGGUCCGGACUCCUACGGGAGGCAGCAGUGGGGAAUAUUGGGCAAUGGGGGCAACCCUGAUCCAGCCAUGCCGCGUGUGUGAAGAAGGCCUUUUGGUUGUAAAGCACUUUAAGCAGGGAGGAGAGGCUAAUGGUUAAUACCCAUUAGAUUAGACGUUACCUGCAGAAUAAGCACCGGCUAACUCUGUGCCAGCAGCCGCGGUAACAC